GGAAAAGGGAUUUCCAUCUUUCAGAGAAGACUAGCAUGGCCCCUGCGCAAGGAUGACAUGCAAAUUCGUGAAGCGUUCCAUAUUUUU
rnacentral:snRNA from 1 species